GUCUACAGCCAUACCACUCUGAAUGCGCCCGAUCUCGUCUGAUCUCGGAAGCUAAACAGGGUCGGGCCUGGUUACUACUUGGAUGGGAGUACGUCAACACUCAGGGGAAAGCUGGUGGCGUGAAAU
rnacentral:rRNA from 1 species